GCAGGGUGGGGUUCCUGAGUGUGAGAAACCAGAAUUGAGAGCUGCACCAGCCGUGUGGCCCCAGGUUUCUCAGGGUGAGGAGACGCAGCCCAGGGGAAAGGCACUUGGGACCACACCCCAACUCACCUACCCUGUGUAAUAAAAGAAGGCAUGCAAGAAGAUCUAUAUGCAGUGACGUGCAAAGGUAUCAAGAACAAGUUGCGAAACCCCAUGGUGGUAGGUGCUGAAUGGUUGAAUAAACGAACAGUCCUAAAAUGGAUAUAUUUUGGGGCAACAGUAAGUUGCCCCCAGGAAGAAAAUCACUUUUGGAAAAUAAAACUGGCAAGAAUCUGUGCUAAAUGGAUGAGACCAGCCACAGAAGCACUUCAUCCUAAAAGAUGGUAAAGGUGGUAAAUUAGGCCGGGUGCAGUGGGUUAUGGCUGCAAACUCAGCACUUUGGGAGGCCUAGGUGGGUGGAUUGCUUGAGCCCUGGAGUUCGAGACCAGCCUGGGCAACAUGGUGAAACCCAGUCUCUACAAAAAAUACAAAAAUUAGCCAUUCGUGGUGGGAUGCAACUGUAGUACCAGGUAUUGGGGAGGCUGAGGAAGGAGGAUCACCUGAACCUGGGAGGUCAAGGCUGCAGCGAGCUGAGAUUGCACCACUGUAAUCCAGCCUGGGCAACAGAGUGAGGCCUUGUGACAAAAAAACAAAACAAAACAACAAAAAAAACCCAACCAACUUGGGUUGGGCAGGGUGGCUCACGCCUGUAAUCUGAACACCUUGGGAGGCCGAGGCAGUGGAUCACUUGAGGUCAGGAGUUUGAGACCAGCCUGGACAACAUGGUGAAACCCUGUCUCUACUAAAAUUACAAAAAUUAGCCGGGCAUGAUGGCAGGAGCCUGUAGUCUCAGCUACUCAGGAGGCUGAGGUGGCAGAACUGCUUGAACCCAGGAGGCAGACGUUGCAUUGAGCUGAGAUUGUGCCACUGCAUUCCAGCCUGGAUGAUGGAGCAAGACUCCAUCUCAAAAAAAAAAAAAAAAAUAAAUAAAAACAAAAUAACAAAACUGGGGGAUACCCAAACCCAAUUAAUAUUCAAAUAAAUGCUUGUCAAAUGCC